rnacentral:lncRNA from 1 species
CCCCUUAGAUGUCCUCCUGAGCCCAUCCUUCCUUAUUUUUUUUAUCCCACAAAAUCUUUUUGAAAUACAGUAUUGAUGAUCCCAAGAAUCAUGAGGAGAAGAAAACCAAAAUGACUGUCUCACAAACUACACCGCAGGUAAUAAAUAUCCCCAACACAGCUUGUAUAUUAGCAGCCUCUGUCUCUGAGCAAAGUGCACACUUCUCCACAGUUCCUGUUGACAUUCCUCCCAUGCACAAGCAUUUCGGAGGUGUCAAGAGAACUAGGAUUCAUGAAUGUCUCUUGGAAAA